rnacentral:rRNA from 1 species
UACAGAGGUCUCAAGCGUUGUUCGGAUUCAUUGGGCGUAAAGGGUGCGUAGGCGGCGCGGUAAGUCGGGUGUGAAAAUCUCGGAGCUUAACUCCGAAACUGCAUUCGAUACUGCCGUGAUUGAGGACUGGAGAGGAGACUGGAAUUUACGGUGUAGCGGUGAAAAUGCGUAGAGAUCAUGAGGAAGACCAGUGGCGAAGGCGGGUCUCUGGACAGUUCCUGACACUGAGACACGAAGGCCAGGGGAGCAAACGGG